rnacentral:rRNA from 1 species
UACGUAGGGCGCGAGCGUUGUCCGGAAUUAUUGGGCGUAAAGAGCUCGUAGGCGGCUGGUUGCGUCUGCUGUGAAAUCCCGGGGCUUAACCCCGGGCGUGCAGUGGAUACGGGCCGGCUGGAGGCAGGCAGGGGAGAAUGGAAUUCCCGGUGUAGUGGUGAAAUGCGUAGAUAUCGGGAGGAACACCAGUGGCGAAGGCGGCUCUCUGGGACGGUACUGACGCUGAGACGCGAAAGCGUGGGGAGCGAACAGG